rnacentral:tRNA from 1 species
GAAAAAUUAGUUAAAUAUAACAUAAAAUUGUCAAUUUUAAAUUGCUAAAUUCAUAGCAUUUUUCU